rnacentral:rRNA from 1 species
UACAGAGGUGGCAAGCGUUGUUCGGAAUUACUGGGCGUAAAGGGCGCGUAGGCGGUCUUCUAAGUCUUGUGUGAAAUCCCUCGGCUUAACUGAGGAACUGCACGGGAUACUGGAAGACUUGAGUUCGGGAGAGGGAAGCGGAAUUCCGGGUGUAGCGGUGAAAUGCGUAGAUAUCUGCAGGAACACCCGUGGCGAAAGCGGCGCGCUGGACCACUACUGACGCUGAAGAACGAAAGCUAGGGGAGCAAACAGG